rnacentral:rRNA from 1 species
CAACUGGUUAAAGUUCGGCCGAUUUUUCGGUCUCUAGUCAAUUUUGUUGUCAGGAACGGUAAGUCCACUCGGUUUUGGCUAGAUUGGUGGGUCGGGGAUACUACGCUUGCAGCUGCCUUCCCGACCUUGUUCUCUUACUGUGAUGAUUCUGAGAUCUCUAUCUUUGAGCUCUCGGUUCAAGGUUGGGUUUUAGAUUUUCGGCGUUCUCUUUCCCCUGUAGAGUUGGAAGAUUGGCAGUGCCUUACUGCUUGCUUCCCCCUGCUCUUGGAGGAAGAGGAUUCCAUGGUUUGGCCCCUUUCCUCCUCGGGGCGCUUCUCUGUCAAAUCGGCUUAUUCUAAGCUUAUCUCU